UUCACUGAAGCGUUCCAUCCUUGUUGCUACAGAGAAGAUUAGCAUGGCCCCUGGGUAAGGAUAACACGCAAAUUCGUGAAGUGUUCCAUAUU